rnacentral:rRNA from 1 species
UACGAAGGGUGCAACCGUUGCUCGGAAUCAUUGGGCGUAAAGCGCACGUAGGCGGCCUCACAAGUCGGAUGUGAAAUCCCGUGGCUCAACCAUGGACGUGCAUUCGAAACUGCGAGGCUUGAGUAUGGAAGAGGGUCGCGGAAUUCCCGGUGUAGAGGUGAAAUUCGUAGAUAUCGGGAGGAACACCAGUGGCGAAGGCGGCGACCUGGGCCAAUACUGACGCUGAGGUGCGAAAGCGUGGGGAGCAAACAGG